rnacentral:rRNA from 1 species
AUUGAACGCUGGCGGCAUGCUUUACACAUGCAAGUCGAACGGCAGCGGGGUGGUUCUUGCUUCUCUGCCGGCGAGUGGCGACUGGGUGAGUCAUACAUCGGCUCGCGUCGAGAUGAGGGGGAUAUCCACCCGCUAGGGUGGCUACUACCGCAUAACUCCUGAUGCAUAGAGCUGGGGACCUAGGUAUCGGCCUUGCGCUUUUUGUCCCGCCGAUGUCGGUUUAGCUUGUUGGUGUGGUAAAGGCUCACUAAGGCGAAGAUCUGUAGCGGGUCUGUGAGGAGGAUCCGCCGCACGGGGACUGAGACACGGCCCAGGCUCCUGAGGGAGGCAGCAGUGGGGAAUGUUGGACAAUGGGGGCAACCCUGAUCCAGCCAUGCCGCGUGUAUGGAGAAGGCCUUAGGGGUGGAAAGAACGUUUGUUAGGGAAGAAAAGUCAGCGGUUAAUAAGGGCUGAGAGUGACGGUACCGAAAGAAUAAGCACCGGCUAACUACGUG